UACGAAGGGGGCUAGCGUUGUUCGGAAUUACUGGGCGUAAAGCGCACGUAGGCGGAUAUUUAAGUCCGGGGUGAAAUCCCAGAGCUCAACUCUGGAACUGCCUCUGAUACUGGGUAUCUUGAGUAUGGAAGAGGUAAGUGGAAUUGCGAGUGUAGAGGUGAAAUUCGUAGAUAUUCGCAGGAACACCAGUGGCGAAGGCGGCUUACUGGUCCAUUACUGACGCUGAGGUGCGAAAGCGUGGGGAGCAAACAGG
rnacentral:rRNA from 1 species